GAUGAACGCUAGCGGCAGGCCUAAUACAUGCAAGACGAACGGUAAGCUUUGUAGCAAUACGGAGCCUAGAGUGUCGCAAGGGUGCGUAACACGUAUGCAAUCUACCCUGUACAGGAGUAUAGCUCCCCGAAAGGGGAAUUAACCCUCCAUAAUAUGAUGAACCGGCAUCGGUUUAUUAUUAAAACUGAGGUGGUACAGGAUGAGCAUGCGUCUGAUUAGCUAGUUGGUAGUGUAAUGGACUACCAAGGCAAUGAUCAGUAGGGGAACUGAGAGGUUGAUCCCCCACACUGGCACUGAGAUACGGGCCAGACUCCUACGGGGAGGCAGCAGUAGGGAAUAUUGGACAAUGGGUGAGAGCCUGAUCCAGCCAUGCCGCGUGCGGGAAGAAGGCCUUCUGGGUUGUAAACUGCUUUUAUCUGGGGAUAAAAAGGCCUUGCGAGGCAAACUGAAGGUACCAGAUGAAUAAGCACGGACUAACUACGUGCCAGCAG
rnacentral:rRNA from 1 species